rnacentral:rRNA from 1 species
ACAACUUUUAACAAUGGAUCUCUUGGCUCUCGCAUCGAUGAAGAACGCAGCGAAAUGCGAUAAGUAAUGUGAAUUGCAGAAUUCAGUGAAUCAUCGAAUCUUUGAACGCACCUUGCACUCUCUGGUAUUCCGGGGAGCACACCUGUUCGAGUGU